rnacentral:misc_RNA from 1 species
UUUGUUCUUGCUUUCAGCUCAGACGACAGGCUAUGUUUCUGCAUAAAAGCGGCGCCGAGGCGCCGAAGCACAAUCUAUUUCCACAUGGUUUGAAGGGUGUGAAGGUCUGACGACCAUUCGUUAAUGAUCCCUCCGCAGGUUCACCUACGGAGA